rnacentral:rRNA from 1 species
CCUACGGGAGGCAGCAGUGAGGAAUAUUGGUCAAUGGACGAGAGUCUGAACCAGCCAAGUAGCGUGAAGGAUGACUGCCCUAUGGGUUGUAAACUUCUUUUAUAUGGGAAUAAAACAUGGGAUGCAUACCCUCUUGUAUGUACCAUAUGAAUAAGGAUCGGCUAACUCCGUGCCAGCAGCCGCGGUAAUACGGAGGAUCCGAGCGUUAUCCGGAUUUAUUGGGUUUAAAGGGAGCGUAGGUGGAUUGUUAAGUCAGUUGUGAAAGUUUGCGGCUCAACCGUAAAAUUGCAGUUGAAACUGGCAGUCUCGAGUACAGUAGAGGUGGGCGGAAUUCGUGGUGUAGCGGUGAAAUGCUUAGAUAUCGCGAAGAACUCCGAUUGCGAAGGCAGCUCACUGGACUGCAACUGACACUGAUGCUCGAAAGUGUGGGUAUCGAACAGGAUUAGAUACCCGUGUAGUC